AGGGUUUGAUUCUGGCUCAGAGUGAACGCUGGCGGCGUGUUUUAGGCAUGCAAGUCGAACGGUAACGACGUAGAAGCUUGCUUCUAUGGGCGACAAGUGGCGGACGGGUGAGUAACACGUAGGAAUCUACCCAGAGGACGGGGAUAGCCAAGAGAAAUCUUGGGUAAUACCCGAUGAUAUCGAAAGAUCAAAGGCGCCUUAAAGCGUCACCUUUGGAUGAGCCUGCGCCCCAUCAGCUAGUUGGCAGGGUAAAUGCCUACCAAGGCUAAGACGGGUAGCUGGUCUGAGAGGAUGAUCAGUCACAAGGGAACUGAGACACGGUCCCUACUCCUACGGGAGGCAGCAGCCAAGAAUAUUCCGCAGUGGACGAAAGUCUGACGGAGCGACGCCGCGUGAAGGAUGAAGGCCUUCGAGUUGUAAACUUCUUUUAUAAGGGAAGAAUAAGUCAAUCAGGAAAUGGAUAGGCGAUGACGGUACCUUUUGAAUAAGCCCCGGCUAAUUACGUGUCAGCAGCCGCGGUAAUACGUAAGGGGCAAGCGUUACUCGGAUUUACUGGGCAUAAAGGGCUUGUAGGCGGCUAUGCAAGUUGAAUGUUAAAGAUCAAGGCUUAACCUUGGGAAUGCGUUCAAAACUGCAUAGCUUGAAUCUAGUGGAAGGUGAUGGAAUUCCCGGUGUAGCGGUGAAAUGCGUAGAUAUCGGGAAGAACACCAAAGGCGAAGGCAAUCAUCUAUACUAAGAUUGACGCUGAGGAGCGAAAGCGUGGGGAGCGAACAGGAUUAGAUACCCUGGUAGUCCACGCCGUAAACGAUGUACACUAGGAGUUGGGGGGAUACCCUUAGCUCCGCAGCAAAUGCGAUAAGUGUACCGCCUGGGGAGUACGGCCGCAAGGUUGAAACUCAAAGAAAUUGACGGGGGCCCGCACAAGCGGUGGAGCACGUGGUUUAAUUCGAUGAUAAGCGAAGAACCUUACCAGGGUUUGACAUGAUAGUGACCGCUAUCGAAAGAUAGUUUUCUCGUAAGAGACAUUAUUACAGGUGCUGCAUGGUUGUCGUCAGCUCGUGCCGUGAUGUGUUGGGUUAAGUCCCGCAACGAGCGCAACCCUUGUUUCUAGUUGCUACAUUUGGUUGGGAACUCUAGAGAGACUGCCGGCGGCAAGUCGGAGGAAGGAGGGGAUGACGUCAAAUCAUCAUGGCCUUUAUAUCCUGGGCUACACACAUGCUACAAUGGACAGUACAGAGGGCUGCGAAACCGCGAGGUCGAGCCAAUCCCCAAAACUGUCCUCAAUAUGGAUCGGAGUCUGCAACUCGACUCCGUGAAACUGGAAUCGCUAGUAAUCGUGGAUCAGCAAUGCCACGGUGAAUACGUUCUCGGGCCUUGUACACACCGCCCGUCACACCACCCGAGUUGGUUUCUCUUGAAGCUGGUUACCCUAACCGUAAGGAAGGGGCUAGUUAGGGAGGGGCUGGUAAGGGGGGUGAAGUCGUAACAAGGCA
rnacentral:rRNA from 1 species